rnacentral:rRNA from 1 species
CACCAGACUCCUACGGGAGGCAGCAGUGGGGAAUAUUGCACAAUGGGGGAAGCCCUGAUGCAGCGACGCCGCGUGAGUGAAGAAGUAUUUCGGUAUGUAAAGCUCUAUCAGCAGGGAAGAAAAUGACGGUACCUGACUAAGAAGCCCCGGCUAACUACGUGCCAGCAGCCGCGGUAAUACGUAGGGGGCAAGCGUUAUCCGGAUUUACUGGGUGUAAAGGGAGCGUAGACGGCAGUGCAAGUCCGGAGUGAAAGCCCGGGGCUCAACCCUGGGACUGCUCUGGAAACUGUAAAGCUGGAGUGCGGGAGGGGCAGGCGGAAUUCCUGGUGUAGCGGUGAAAUGCGUAGAUAUCAGGAGGAACACCGGCGGCGAAGGCGGCCUGCUGGACCGUAACUGACGUUGAGGCUCGAAAGCGUGGGGAGCAAACAGGAUUAGAUACCCUGGUACG